rnacentral:rRNA from 1 species
UUUUUUGAGAGUUUGAUCCUGGCUCAGGAUGAACGCUGGCGGUGUGCUUUAGGCAUGCAAGUCGAACGGUAACAGGUCUAGUUUACUAGAUGCUGACGAGUGGCGAACGGGUGAGUAACACGUAGGAAUCUACCUAGUAGCGGGGGAUAGCCCAUCGAAAGAUGGGAUAAUACCGCAUAAGCCCUUACGGGGAAAGCAUUUAUGCACUAUUAGAGGAGCCUGCGCGCUAUCAGUUAGUUGGUGGGGUAAUGGCCUACCAAGACUACGACGGCUAGCCGAUGUGAGAGCAUGAUCGGCCACAAGGUUACUGAGACACGGAACCUACACCUACGGGUGGCAGCAACCGGGAAUAUUGCGCAAUGGACGAAAGUCUGACGCAGCGACACCGCGUGUGGGAAGACGCUUUUCGG